rnacentral:lncRNA from 1 species
GUGAUCAGGAGAAUAGAUUUUUCUGGAAGGACAAUUCAUUACCCAAAUAAAAAAAGAUCGUAAGACCUCACCUAACUUUGAUUAAUCGAAUAAAAAAGGAAGAAAUUUAGCUGCUAAAAAUCACAGAUCCAAGCGAAUUAAGAUCGUCCAGGAUCCAAUGGUUAAUCAUCGAUCACAAUAUAUAAUUACAAAUCAGCAUAGCUCGGAGAAAAAACAAAAACAGUCUGAGAUUUCGAUCGAGAGAGAGAGAGACCUUUCUGUGGCGGGCAUUAAGCUCCUUGGAUACGUUGGCCUUCUCGUUCAUGGUUGGAUAACGGAGGCUAGGAGGAGAAUCGCCAAAGACGAGGAAGAGCUGAAGAAAACAAAACAAAAUCUGCUCGAAGAGGCGGAGGAUAUACACGUAUGAAGCCAGGGGGAUCGAGAAUGUCGCGGGAAGAUGGAACGGUGGAUUGAUCGGAGAAAUCGACGGCCCAUCUCCGGCCAGUACCCAUCACUGCUUUGCCUUUGUCCAUUCGCUUUAGUUUUUCGAUCCACGAGACAGAGAUGAACAGCCAAGCAGCAGAAGAACGAGAAGGCGAAGAAGAGAAGGAGAAGAACAACCAAUACACAACACCCGUCUCAGAAGACAGUAUCUUCUUUCCCCUAAUUAAAGAUACGUUUCCUAUUAAUUAUGCUAAUUUUCUUCUUUUUUUUUUUAAUCCAAUUAAUGGUAAGAGACGGGAGUUGCAUACCCAGUUAAUGAUGCUCUUAUUAUAUCCAAGCUCCAAGAUAGAACCCAAGAACUCUAGGCGGCGCCACAUCAUCUUGAGAUAGUCCGGUGUCAUGAAGUUCUUCUGGCCGGAAAAGAAAAAUCAAUAGCAACGGCGGGGAUGGAUCUCCAAGCACCUUGAGUAAGCUUCCUCGUCCAUACAUACAAACCACUACAAGGUGGCGGAGCAGUCGCUUAGUCCCUACUCCGACGUGGAAACCCUCCAGAAACAAAUCGAACGUUGAGUUAGGCUCAGCCCAAGCCUGGUUUAAGGUCGUUAGUAUCACCGUUUUCUCCUCCGUCGAUGCUUCCAGCAAGACUCUCUGCAAAGCUCCCACAUCUUUCGCCAUACUCUGGCAAAAAGAAAAAUUUUAAACAUUAAAAACAAUGAUUUUGUAUAUUAUAAAAUAUCUUAUACUACUUUAGAAAAAGAGUUAAAAUACCUUCUCAGCUUAAGAAUAUAGCCCAAUUUCUUCAUAAAGAGUUGUUUGGGAUCGAAUCCCAAUCAGUGUG